CCUACGGGCGGCUGCAGUGGGGAAUAUUGGACAAUGGGGGGAACCCUGAUCCAGCCAUGCCGCGUGUGUGAAGAAGGCCCUCGGGUUGUAAAGCACUUUCAGUGAGGAAGAACGCCUGGUGGUUAAUACCCAUCAGGAAAGACAUCACUCACAGAAGAAGCACCGGCUAACUCCGUGCCAGCAGCCGCGGUAAUACGGAGGGUGCGAGCGUUAAUCGGAAUUACUGGGCGUAAAGCGCGCGUAGGUGGCUUGAUAAGCCGGUUGUGAAAGCCCGGGGCUCAACCUGGGAACGGCAUCCGGAACUGUCAAGCUAGAGUGCAGGAGAGGAAGGUAGAAUUCCCGGUGUAGCGGUGAAAUGCGUAGAGAUCGGGAGGAAUACCAGUGGCGAAGGCGGCCUUCUGGACUGACACUGACACUGAGGUGCGAAAGCGUGGGUAGCAAACAGGAUUAGAUACCCUAGUAGUC
rnacentral:rRNA from 1 species